rnacentral:rRNA from 1 species
GGGUCAGUAGGUUGGUCGUGCCACCGGUACGUACUGGUCUCACUGAUUCCUCCUUCCUGAAGAACCGUAAUGCCAUUAAUUUGGUGUUGCGGGGUAAAAGGACUGUUACUUUGAAAAAAUUAGAGUGUUUAAAGCAAGCUAACGCUUGAAUACAUUAGCAUGGAAUAAUGAAAUAGGACGAUCGAUCCUAUUUUGCUGGUUUCUAGGAUUGACGUA